GAUUAAGUUGGUAGCACUGAACGCAAUUUAAAAUUGGCCGCUAAACGUCAAAAUGGGUAAAUCCUUGUGACACAAAAAAUGAAAAAUGCCCCUCAUAAACAUCCAAAAACUGUUCCUAUAAGACGGAGGCAUGGGGAAGGUUCAAGUUCGUCAGUGGCAUCUUCGGAUAUUGAAGGAACUUUCAUUCCUCUGACAGAGAGUGACUCUAAAUGGGAAGGUUUAAAUUUUCUCAACAGGAACUUUAAAGAGGAGGAAGAACAAGAAGAUGUUGUAAAAAUCGUUGACUUACAAACUGAGGAAAAACCUCCAUUAUUUUUAUUAUUCCCUGACUUGGGGAAUAAAGAUAAGGAACGUCUAUCAAGAGAGACUUCAACUACUCAGAUUACGCAAAUUUUAGUUGGCAAAAGAGCCGAUUUUAGUCUGCUGAAACCUUCGAAAAAAAUUAAUCCGGAACAGAGCAAAUUACCUCCGUUACACGAAGCGACACAUGAAAAUAGCGACAGUGAAGGGUCUAUUAAAUAAAACAACUUUUCGGUUUGUUAAUUUAAUUUGGUAGUAAAAUUUACAUUUAUUUAAUUUAA